CUGCUGCCUUCCGUAGGAGUCUGGGCCGUGUCUCAGUCCCAAUGUGGCCGUCCACCCUCUCAGGCCGGCUACUGAUCGUCGGCUUGGUGGGCCAUUACCCCACCAACUACCUAAUCAGACGCGGGUCCAUCUUACACCACCUCAGUUUUUACCACUGUACCAUGCAGUACUGUGGUCUUAUGCGGUAUUAGCAGUCAUUUCUAACUGUUAUCCCCCUGUGUAAGGCAGGUUACCCACGCGUUACUCACCCGUCCGCCG
rnacentral:rRNA from 1 species